GUAUUAAAAACCUCGUAAAUAUGUAAAUACAUUUACGACAUAUUUGUAUACCUUUAACGGAAAAAAUGUUCCUCGUUGAAAAUUUCACAUUUAAGGCAUAUUUUUUGCCCCGUAAAUAAGCAGCCCCAAAAUUUUCCUCCUCGACGCCAAAAUUUUCCACUCCCGCACAAUAAAAAUCACUCAAAAAAAAAAAAAAAACAAAAACUAAACUUUAAGAGAUAUCACUUCGUCCUCAGACCCAUUCACAUUCGGAGACCCAGACACAUUAGGAACCCUCUUUCCCUUGGUGCAGUUCCCAGAUUAGAUCCACACAGCCAGCAUGUUUAUGCUUCUUCUCUUCAUGGUUGCUUUUGUUCAAUCUUAGAGUUCUGAUUCGCGCUUCUCUUCGUGGUUGCUUUUGUUCAAUGUUGGAGUUUUCGGCCAAAUCGCGUUGUCGGGUAAGCUUCACCAUCCCAAAUUUGGAGCAAUCAGAGGAACCUUGUUCAGACUCACACAUUGGUGAGGAAAUCAGAAAGUAAUGGAUCUUAGGAAGAGAUGGAGUGACGGAGAUCAGUGGCUAAAGUCGGGCAAUGGGCAGCAAAAAAGAUUGCGUAUGUGCAUGAUCAAACAUCACAGAAAAAGAUUCGCGCAUUGAGAGGGGGUGUUGUUGAUCAGUCUACUGUUGGUAGGAUCAACAAGGUCUUGCAACACCUCUGAGAGAUGAUGGAGGACAACUUGUCCGCACAGAGAGAUUAAGAACCAAAGAUAUAACACAUAGAGUAGAACCCAAGAAUUAUUGGCAGCUAUAUUUGUUCCUAUGGCUUAUCAGUGGAGCUUCCAAAUUCCGAGGUGCCUGCAAUGCGGUUUUUUCACUUGACGAUGAUCAGGCAGCUAGAGGGGUUGUAACUCACAGCAGUGGUAACCAUGUUGCAACAUUGUCUUUGGCUGCAAAACUACGCGGCAUUCCAGCAUAUAUUGUUGUACCAAAAAUGCUCCAAAAUGCAAAGUUGAGAAUGUCAUGCAUUACGGUGGCCAAGUUAUCUGGAGUGACGAUGACGCCACUAUGCAAUCAAGAGAGGAUACUGUUAACAAGGUGUUGCAAGAAACCGGUGCAGUUCUUGUUCAUCCAUAUAAUGAUGGGCGGGUCAUAAGGGGGCAGGGUACCAUAUCAUUAGAGCUUUUGGAGCAAGCCCCACAAAUAUACAUUAUAAUAGUUCCUAUGUGGUUUGUUUAAUGACUUCUAAGUAUUAAUUCAUCUUUUCUAUUCCUGCAUCAUCUUUAUUACUAAUUUGAUGAGCUUUCCAUUUUUUUCUGGUAAAAAAAAUUUAGGCGGAGGUUUGAUAUCUGGGGUUGCAUUGGCUGCCAAGUUUAUCAACCCUGCUAUUUGAGUUUUGGCUGCUGAACCAAUGGAGCACCUACUUGCUUGGAUUUUGUAUCGUGGAAAAUGAGGUGUUGUUUUUGACAAGUGCAGAUUGAAACUCAAUUGCUAGGAAAUUGAUUAUUAUUAUAAUUUUUUUUUGGCAAAUGGAUUUACUUCCUAUUUUGGCACAUUGAUCAA